rnacentral:rRNA from 1 species
CAGCCGCCGCGGUAAUACCGGCGGCCCGAGUGGCGGUCACUAUUAUUGGGCUUAAAGCGUCCGUAGCCGGGUUGGGAAGUCCUCCGGGAAAUCUGGCCGCUUAACGGUCAGAAUGCCGGAGGAUACUCCCAGCCUAGGGAGCGGGAGAGGCCGAGGGUAUUCCCGGAGUAGGGGGGAAAUACUAUAAUCCCGGGAGGACCACCUGUGGCGAAGGCGCUCGGCUGGAACGCGUCCGACGGUGAGGGACGAAGGCCAGGGGAGCAAACCGGAUUAGAUACCCGGGUAGUCCUGGCUGUAAACGAUGCGGACUUUGUGUCGGACAAGCUAUGAGCUUGUCCGGUGCCGGAGGGAAACCGUUAAGUCCGCCGCCUGGGGAGUACGGCCGCAAGGCUGAAACUUAAAGGAAUUGGCGGG